CGGAGGGCCAUAAAGUCUUUGUGGAGGAGUUCCACUAGCGCCAGACGCGCGUCGAAGCUUAAUUAUUUUCUCGGUUGACUACAGGAUGUCUGUGAUGUUUUUGUCCGCCGAGCUAGCUCCAGGUGACUCAGAAAUCUCUCUCACCGGGCCGAGCCAAGUUAAGAUUUGAGUUUGAAUCUGAGUUCGUGGAUUUCGUCAGAGGCGAUCCAGACGGGUGAGCAGACCUCCCACUCAGAACAGCUGUAGAGGUUUGGAGGCUGAGCGACCCUAGUCCUCAGGACUAUCGUCCCUGGUCACACCGUCCAGACGACCUGCAGCGAAUCCUGUUCAUAGAUGCCAAAAUUGUGGUGGAAAUUUCCCAUGAAGAGGCAGAUGAGAGAGUUGUCUUUUGUGUAAUUUAUUAUAAAAAUAAAGGAAAAUAAAAAUAAUGGGGAAAGCAAAUCAAAAGCAUCGAUGUUGAUCGUGCACAUCAACAAACCAAAAACCAGCUGGGGAGAUCAGUGCACACACCACGAAGGUGUGAUGCAAAGAGCCCACGAUCCUCAAGUUGCUUCUGCCUUUUAGCCUCUGUCCAACUAGGGUGGAAUGUCUUUCUAACCCAAUCAAAUUACAUGCACCAUCUCCUCCCUGUCGCAGUGUGUGUGAAGAUAUUUACAUUCUCACACCUGCUUAGCUGACGGCCAACUAUCUGUGAGAAAGGAGCACCGAGUCUAAACAGAUAGAGUCACAACUCCCCGACCUUGAUAAGAUAAGAUAAGAUAAGAUAAGAUAAGAUAAGAUAAGAUAAGAUAAGAUAAGAUAAGAUAAGAUAAGAUAAGAUAAGAUAAGAUAAGAUAAGAUAAGAUAAGAUAAGAAAACCUUUAAUAGUCCCGCAGUGGGGAAACUUGGGUUUGGGAGCUAGAGUUGAGAGUCUAUCAGGCAGAGACAACCAUUGAACAAUCUAGGUGAAAUGUCAAAUGCAUACAGUAAGACAAAACAUAAGAUAUUAAUUGCAGAACAUAAGUCAUAAAUCGUAUAAUAACUGCAUAGAAGUAAGGAAGACACAAUUUUUCCCAUAACAGCCAUAAUCAAGUGGCUGGCAUAGUAUACAGGAACAUCUGCACAGCGUGGGGACUGGAGACCUAAGGUCAAAGUGGGAAACACCUCCCAAGGUGGUAGAGAACGAGCGAGCCAAGAUUCUGUGGGAUUUCCAGAUACAGACGGACAGAAUGGUAAUGGAGAACCAACCAGAUAUUGUGGUUGGCAACAUCAGGAAAAAGUAGCAUGAGAAACUAGAGAAAUACCAAGGGCUCAGAGGAGAACUGGAGAAGGCUUGGAAGGUGAAGGCCACAGUGGUGCCUGUGGUGAUCGGAGCACUGGGGGCAGUGACCCCCAAACUGGAGGAGUGGCUACAACAGAUCCCUGGAAAAACAUCCGAAAUCUCAGUCCAGAAAAGUGCAGUCCUAGGAACAGCAAUGAUACUGCGCAGAACCCUCAAGCUUAAUGGCCUCUGGUAGAGGACCCGAGCUUGGAAAGUGGAUGAGACCACCCGCGUGGGGUGAGAAGGGAGUUUAUAUAUAAAUAAUGUUACACAAUCUAUAGGUAACUAACUCAAUAACCAGCACUUAUUGUAGAGACGUGACUAAUUAGCAACUAAGUUUGGAACACAACACAGUUAACAUACAGGUGCGCUAACGCAAGACAAAUACAGUCAGUGGGGCUGCCUUCUAUAACGUGAUUACACCGGGUGAAUCGUGCGCAACGUUGCCGCUUCACUGUGUGUUUGGCUGCAGUCGUUAGCAGUAACUGCAACAUGCAAUUGCACGAUUGGUUGUCGGUGUAGCUGAUAAUGGCACUCUAAUGGAUAACAAUUAGCUCCAUCCAUCACUCCCUGUCUGCAGCUGCUAGAAGGCUGAUGGCUAUUAGCUUUUUCCCCUAGUAUGUGUGAUUGCAGCGACCCACAGCAGCACAUUUCAACACAUGCUGUCGAACACUGCUCUCUGGCUGUAGCCGUUAGCAUCUCGCUAGGUCUUAACUUGCCUCACAUGGGUUACUACAUUUUAAACAGACAAACUAAUAUAUUAAAAGUGAAAGUCUGAAGACAAGGAGGAUAUGGCCUGUACAUGCUUUGGCACAAGUGGAGGAAGUGUCCAGGGAGAGGGAAAUCUGCACUUCUCAGAGUGUACCCACCACAACCCAGCUCUGUGUAAAGCAGUUAAUAUGAAAGGCUAAAGGGAAGCUAUUUUUUUUUACAAUUUUCUCUUUAAAUUGAAUUGAAUUAAUAUGAAAUUAACAUCUGCAUUUUAACCUAUCUCCUGGGGGAGCAGUGGGCAGUUGUAAAGUGUCUUGUUCAAGGACACACCACAUAAGUGGGGCUUAAACCUGGGACUUUCUGCUUCCCAGGCCAAUGCUCUACCUUCUAUUUUACCAGGCCAUUACUGAUUAAUUGAUUGAUUUAAUCAAUCAAAUUUAGUCAACUUGACACAGUUUUCGGUGUUUUGACACCAUCAUACUGGUGUCAUACAUAGAUUUUAAAUAUAAUGAUCAGAAAGUGCUUAUAUUUGCCAUUGUAUACCUGUAAUCCAUCUGUAUAUUUGUAAUACUCUAAUGCAUUAAAUGCACAAAAAGGGGAAAAAGCUUUAUUUUAAUUUUAUAAGCUCUCAUAAAAAUAAAAGGAUGAAAAUGUGUGUCUGUUCAACAAGUCACAUAGAUAUUAUAGAAAUACAUUUUUAAAAACUUUGUACAACAAACAUUCAAACAUAAAACCUCAAGCCUGUCACAAAUUCAUUUGAUUUAAUAGCUCAUUGUUCACUGUCAUACAGCCAAUUUCCAAAACAUUUGGAGAAACAGCAAGUGUAUAGUAAAUCCAACUAACGUUUUUACCAUACAGUUUUUUAAAAACAUAAUUACUUAAAUGAGAAAUUAAAUCUUUACAACACAAAGUGAUUUCAGAUUGAAUGCUUAUUUGAAUAUGUAUUAAAAAAAGAUAAAAAUAUCUUUUUUUUUCUGAUUUUACCCCAAAAAUGUAACAUUAAACAAGCACUUUUUUAAUUAGGGCAACUCCUAAGGCAACAUGUGAACUAAAAACAAACUAGAUAUUGCAUGGAGAGAUAUCUGUUCUGUUUUGUCCAUAAGGGCAUAGCCAGACCAGAUAACAAAACAACAACUAAAAAAUGACAUAAGAGCUAUCACAAAAACAUUUACACACAAAACGAUCCUGAAGUCAAAUAAAAUGUGGACCAAUAGCUCUUGGUGGAGUCUAUUUGAGAGCCAGAGAAUCACAUCAUUGUACUGUAAAUUUUGAUACAGCACAUUCAUCUGUGAACUGAACAAAUCACUUCAAUGAAAAAUACAGGUAUUUGUAUGGUGAGCUACUAAAGGAUUCAUGCCUGUGCAAAGGGACAGGUUAGAUUUAAGUUAUGAGCUUAUUCAUGCCAAUUUUUCUGAGGAACAGUUUGAUUGAUGACAAUUUAACCAGGUUUCACUUUCUGAUGUACCUUCAAAGGGAUUUAUGAGGUUUAAGACUUGCUCUGCAGGUCACAACUGCAAUUAGCCUUUAAUGUUACUCUAAGAGGACAGGGAAUGUACUAUGAUUGAGUGUCUUCACAAUGAUAGAAGUACAAUUUUUUGCAUAACAGGGACUCCAUAUAUGCAUUGUAAUACAGUCACAUGUAAUACAAUACAGUUUCUCUUAAAUGUCUGCAUAUGAUUAAAGCUUUUUGCUAAAAGCCUACCUUCACAUUCUGGAGGAUAGUGUGGUGCUGCCAGCUGUAGCAGAGUGGACACACACUGACCAGAGGACCUGAGAGCAAACACACACAAACACCCAACCCAUACUCACUGGCCUGCCAGACUGUUCACACACCAUGAACACAGCUGCUGAAGAAAAGUCUACCCAGAAGCACAGCAGCAAAGAGUCGGUUGAGAAAGCUGUAGAUAGUAAAGGUGCAGUUUGGUCUGCCGUCACAAAACACGAUGUGCAAUUUAUGUACAGAAUGCAUCUUCCUGUGGGCAGAAAAAUAGGGUCUAAACGGGUUAUCAUGCAGGACACAGUAGACUGCAGGUCUCUUCACAAAGCUAGACUUGAAACAAACUGUGUAUAUGUGUGUGUGUGUUGGAGUGUGACAGUUUGUAGUGUUAUAGUGCAUAAAUAGGAGGAGGAUCGUAGCAGUUCAUAUGUCUUUGCUUUAUCAUGACGUGCCCGGUCUCUUUUGUUGCUGAACCCGAAUCAGCUCCAGUUGUUUCUUGCAUUUCUGGUAGUAUGUGGACAGACUUUUGUUCUCCUCCAGUAGCUUUUUGUGCUCCUGAACCAGACGGGAUGUGUUCUGCUGGUCCUUCUCAUCUUGGUCCAGUUCAGCAAUGAGCUCCUUCCUACAGAAACAGGAAAUGAAGGUGGAAAAGGAUCAUUGUUUUCAGUUAUUUUAAACAUUUUAUUCCACUUAUUGCAUGACUGUCUAUUCUUAUAGUUAGCCAAUGAGUUCUCUGAGAAAAGAAAAGUUAAUACACAAUGCUCUGUGUCUUAGGAGGCAGAGUAUUUCCAGCUGGGAUGACAGCAGAAUCCUACAUCGGGUUGUUCCUGGUUUGUAACACACAAAAAUGAUGCAGGUGUGGAAAACUUGGCAAGUCAUUCCAUGGCUCUACCAGUAAAUAGUUCAUAGGAAGGUCACUGAAAUGAAAGUCAGGACUCAGGACUGUGUGAUUUACAUAAAAAUAUGCAAAUAAUAAAUAAUAAUAGAAAUAAAUAAUAACUACUGUC